AGCUUGGGAGCAAACAGGAUUAGAUACCCUGGUAGUCCACGCUGUAAACGAUGUCUUCUAGCUGUUGGUUAUAUGAAAAUAAUUAGUGGCGCAGCAAACGCGAUAAGUUGACUGCCUGGGGAGUACGGUCGCAAGAU
rnacentral:rRNA from 1 species